rnacentral:rRNA from 1 species
AUUGAACGCUGGCGGCAUGCCUUACACAUGCAAGUCGAACGGCAGCACGGGGCAACCUGGUGGCGAGUGGCGAACGGGUGAGUAAUGCAUCGGAACGUACCUUUCAGUGGGGGAUAACGUAGCGAAAGUUACGCUAAUACCGCAUAUUCUGUGAGCAGGAAAGCAGGGGAUCGCAAGACCUUGCGCUGAUUGAGCGGCCGAUGUCAGAUUAGCUAGUUGGUGAGGUAAAGGCUCACCAAGGAGACGGUCUGUAGCGGGUCUGAGAGGAUGAUCCGCCACACUGGAACCGAGACACGGUCCAGACUCCUACGGGAGGCAGCAGUGGGGAAUUUUGGACAAUGGGGGCAACCCUGAUCCGGCCAGGCCGCGUGGGUGAAGAAGGCCUUCGGGUUGUAAAGCGCUUUCGGCCGGGAAGAAAUCGCACGGGCUAAUACCCUGUGUGGAUGACGGUACCGGAAUAAGAAGCACCGGCUAACUACGUGCCAGCCGCCGCCGUAA